rnacentral:rRNA from 1 species
UACGUAGGGUCCAAGCGUUAUCCGGAAUCACUGGGCGUAAAGCGUGCGUAGGUGGCGUGUUAAGUGAGAUGUUAAAUCGUGUGGCUCAACCAUAUCGAUGCAUCUCAUACUGGCAUGCUAGAGGACAGCAGAGGCAAGUGGAAUUGGUAGUGUAGCAGUGAAAUGCGCAGAUAUCAGGAGGAGCACCGGUGGCGAAGGCGGGUCUCUGGGCCGAUACUGACGCUGAGGAGCGAAAGCGUGGGGAGCGAACAGG